rnacentral:rRNA from 1 species
UAGAUACCCUAUUAUUUUAAGCUAUAUAUUGGUAGUAAUUAAUAAUUUAUGAAAUCAUAAGAUUUUGGCGGUAUUUUAAGCUUAUUAGAGGAAUUUGCUCUGUGAUGGAUACAACGCCUCGAUCUUACUUAAUUUGGUUUUAAAAGUCAGUUUGUAUACCACUAUAUUUAAUUAUAUUGAAUAAUUAUAUUUAAGAUUUUUAUAAAAAAAUAUAUUAAGUCAAGGUGCAAUUAAUAAUUAUGAAUGAAGUGAAUUACAUUAAUUUUAAUUUUAUUAAAAUAUUGAAAAAAAAAUUUUUAGGAUUUAAUAGUAAAAUG